CCUACGGGUGGCAGCAGUGGGGAAUAUUGGACAAUGGGCGAAAGCCUGAUCCAGCCAUGCCGCGUGUGUGAAGAAGGCCUUAGGGUUGUAAAGCACUUUCAGUGGGGAAGAAAGCCUUGGGGCUAAUACCCUCGAGGAAGGACAUCACCCACAGAAGAAGCACCGGCUAACUCCGUGCCAGCAGCCGCGGUAAUACGGAGGGUGCGAGCGUUAAUCGGAAUUACUGGGCGUAAAGCGCGCGUAGGCGGUCUGAUAAGCCGGUUGUGAAAGCCCCGGGCUCAACCUGGGAACGGCAUCCGGAACUGUCAGGCUAGAGUGCAGGAGAGGAAGGUAGAAUUCCCGGUGUAGCGGUGAAAUGCGUAGAGAUCGGGAGGAAUACCAGUGGCGAAGGCGGCCUUCUGGACUGACACUGACGCUGAGGUGCGAAAGCGUGGGUAGCAAACAGGAUUAGAUACCCUUGUAGUC
rnacentral:rRNA from 1 species